GGAGCACCGAGACGAGUCCUAUGAGGACGAAGUGACUGACACCACGCUUCCAGGAAAAGCCACUAAGCUUCAGCUUAAGAAAAACCGUACCGCAAACCGACACAGGUAGGCAGGGUGAGAAUCCCAAGGCGCUUGAGAGAACUCGGGUGAAGGAACUAGGCAAAAUGGCACCGUAACUUCGGGAGAAGGUGCGCCCUUUGGUGUGGUCACGUGCGUGACUGAGCAUCGAAGGGUCGCAGUAACCUGGCCGCUGCGACUGUUUAUCAAAAACACAGCACUCUGCAAACACGAAAGUGGACGUAUAGGGUGUGACGCCUGCCCGGUGCUGGAAGGUUAAUUGAUGGGGUCAGCCGCAAGGCGAAGCUCUUGAUCGAAGCCCCAGUAAACGGCGGCCGUAACUAUAACGGUCCUAAGGUAGCGAAAUUCCUUGUCGGGUAAGUUCCGACCUGCACGAAUGGCGUAACGACAGCGGCGCUGUCUCCACCCGAGACUCAGUGAAAUUGAAAUCGCUGUGAAGAUGCAGCGUUCCCGCGGCAAGACGGAAAGACCCCGUGAACCUUUACUAUAGCUUUACACUGAACGUUGAGUUCUUCUCUGUAGGAUAGGUGGGAGGCUAUGAAACCAGGACGCUAGUUCUGGUGGAGCCAUCCUUGAAAUACCACCCUGAAGUGCUUGACGUUCUAACCUAGGCCCGUAAUCCGGGUCAGGGACCGUGUAUGGUGGGUAGUUUGACUGGGGCGGUCUCCUCCCAAAGAGUAACGGAGGAGCACGAAGGUACGCUCAGCGCGGUCGGACAUCGCGCACUGUGUGCAAAGGCAUAAGCGUGCUUGACUGCGAGAUCGACGGAUCAAGCAGGUACGAAAGUAGGUCUUAGUGAUCCGGUGGUUCUGUAUGGAAGGGCCAUCGCUCAACGGAUAAAAGGUACUCCGGGGAUAACAGGCUGAUACCGCCCAAGAGUUCAUAUCGACGGCGGUGUUUGGCACCUCGAUGUCGGCUCAUCACAUCCUGGGGCUGUAGCCGGUCCCAAGGGUAUGGCUGUUCGCCAUUUAAAGUGGUACGCGAGCUGGGUUCAGAACGUCGUGAGACAGUUCGGUCCCUAUCUGUCGUGGGCGUUGGAGAUUUGAGGGGGGCUGCUCCUAGUACGAGAGGACCGGAGUGGACGUUCCGCUGGUGUUCGGGUUGUCAUGCCCAUGGCAUUGCCCGGUAGCUACGAACGGAAGUGAUAACCGCUGAAAGCAUCUAAGCGGGAAGCACGCCCCAAGAUGAGAUCUCCCGAGAGCUUGACUCUCCUAAAGGCACCAUCAAGACUAGGUGGUUGAUAGGUCAGGUGUGGAAGCGCAGCAAUGCGUUGAGCUAACUGAUACUAAUGAGCCGUGAGGCUUGACCAA
rnacentral:rRNA from 1 species